AAGCAUCGGCUAACUCUGUGCCAGCAGCUGCGGUAAUACAGAGGAUGCAAGCGUUAUCCGGAAUGAUUGGGCG
rnacentral:rRNA from 1 species